rnacentral:rRNA from 1 species
CUACGGGGGGCAGCAGUGGGGAAUAUUGGGCAAUGGGCGAAAGCCUGACCCAGCAACGCCGCGUGAUUGAAGAAGGUCUUCGGAUUGUAAAAAUCUGUCCUUGGGGACGAAAAAAAUGACGGUACCCAAGGAGGAAGCCCCGGCUAACUACGUGCCAGCAGCCGCGGUAAUACGUAGGGGGCGAGCGUUGUCCGGAAUUACUGGGCGUAAAGGGUGCGCAGGCGGCGCUUUAAGUCAGAUGUGAAAUACCCAGGCUUAACCUGGGGGGUGCAUUUGAAACUGGAGUGCUUGAGUGCAGGAGAGGAAAGUGGAAUUCCUAGUGUAGCGGUGAAAUGCGUAGAUAUUAGGAGGAACACCAGUGGCGAAGGCGACUUUCUGGACUGUAACUGACGCUGAGGCACGAAAGCGUGGGGAGCAAACAGGAUUAGAUACCCUCGUAGUC